rnacentral:rRNA from 1 species
AGCGAACGCUGGCGGCGUGCCUAACACAUGCAAGUCGAACGUGAAAGGGAGCAAUCCCAAGUAAAGUGGCGUACGGGUGAGUAACACGUAGGUAAUCUACCCCAGAAUCUGGAAUAACCGGCCGAAAGGCUGGCUAAUACUGGAUAGAGCGACGGAAUCCGUAAUUGGGUUUUUCGGGAAAGGGAGCCUGUAAAAAGGCCUUCGUUCUGGGAUGAGCCUGCGUCCCAUCAGCUAGUUGGUGAGGUAAAAGCUUACCAAGGCAAUGACGGGUAGCUGGUCUGAGAGGACGAUCAGCCACACUGGAACUGAAACACGGUCCAGAUUCCUACGGGAGGCAGCAGUGGGGAAUCUUGCGCAAUGGACGAAAGUCUGACGCAGCAACGCCGCGAGAGUGAAGAAGGCCUUCGGGUUGUAAAGUUCGGUCGAGUGGGACGAAAAUGCUUGGAGUUCACAGCUCCAGGAACUGACGGUACCACUAAAGGAAGCACCGGCUAACUCCGUG